GGGGAUUUAGCUCAGUGGUAGAGCGCUUGCCUUGCAAGCGCAAAGCCCUGGGUUCGGUCCUCAGCUCCA
rnacentral:tRNA from 1 species